rnacentral:rRNA from 1 species
UACAGAGUGGCCAAGCGUUGUCCGGAAUCAUUGGGCGUAAAGAGCGUGUAGGCGGCCAGAUAAGUCCGCUGUGAAAACUCGAGGCUCAACUUCGAGCUGUCGGUGGAAACUAUUUGGCUAGAGUCCGGAAGAGGUUGGUGGAAUUCCGAGUGUAGAGGUGAAAUUCGUAGAUAUUCGGAGGAACACCAGAGGCGAAGGCGGCCAACUGGUCCGGUACUGACGCUGAGGCGCGAAAGCGUGGGGAGCAAACAGG